rnacentral:rRNA from 1 species
GACGGAGGGUGCUAGCGUUGUUCGGAAUUACUGGGCGUAACGGGCGCGUAGGCGGCCUUCUCAGUCGGGUGUGAAAGCCCGGGGCUCAACCCCGGAACGGCACCCGAGACGGGUUGGCUGGAGACCGGGAGAGGAGGGUGGAAUAGCCAGUGUAGAGGUGAAAUUCGUAGAUAUUGGCUGGAACACCGGUGGCGAAAGCGGCUCUCUGGCCCGGUUCUGACGCUGAGGCGCGAAAGCGUGGGGAGCAAACAGG